GACGAACGCUGGCGGCGUGCUUAACACAUGCAAGUCGAACGGUGAAGCGCCUUCCUUUUUGGUGGGUGUGGAUGAGUGGCGAACGGGUGAGUAACACGUGAGUAACCUGCCCCCUUCUUCUGGAUAACCGCAUGAAAGUGUGGCUAAUACGGGAUAUUCUGGGUCUGUCGCAUGAUGGGUCUGGGAAAGAUAUUGUUUCGGUGGGGGAUGGGCUCGCGGCCUAUCAGCUUGUUGGUGGGGUGAUGGCCUACCAAGGCGGUGACGGGUAGCCGGCCUGAGAGGGUGGACGGUCACACUGGGACGGAGACACGGCCCAGACUCCGACGGGAGGCAGCAGUGGGGAAUAGUGCACAAUGGGCGCAAGCCUGAUGCAGCGACGCCGCGUGAGGGAUGGAGGCCUUCGGGUUGUGAACCUCUUUCGCCAGUGAAGCAGGCCUGCCUCGUUUGUGGGUGGGUUGACGGUAGCUGGAGAAGAAGCGCCGGCUAACUACGUG
rnacentral:rRNA from 1 species